UACGGAGGGUGCGAGCGUUGUCCGGAAUCAUUGGGCGUAAAGGGCGCGUAGGUGGCCCGGUGAGUCUUUGGUGAAAGCGCGGGGCUCAACCCUGCGUCGGCCAGGGAUACUGCCGCGGCUCGAGCACCGUAGAGGCAGGCGGAAUUCCGGGUGUAGCGGUGGAAUGCGUAGAGAUCCGGAAGAACACCGGUGGCGAAGGCGGCCUGCUGGGCAGUGGCUGACGCUGAGGCGCGACAGCGUGGGGAGCAAACAGG
rnacentral:rRNA from 1 species